GAUGAACGCUGGCGGCGUGCCUAAUACAUGCAAGUCGAGCGAACGGACGAGAAGCUUGCUUCUCUGAUAUUAGCGGCUGACGGGUGAGUAACACGUGGAUAACCUACCUAUAAGACUGGGAUAACUUCGGGAAACCGUAGCUAAUACCGGAUAAUAUUUUGAACCGCAUGGUUCAAAAGUGAAAGACGGUCUUGCUGUCACUUAUAGAUGGAUCCGCGCUGCAUUAGCUAGUUGGUAAGGUAACGGCUUACCAAGGCAACGAUGCAUAGCCGACCUGAGAGGGUGAUCGGCCACACUGGAACUGAGACACGGUCCAGACUCCUACGGGAGGCAGCAGUAGGGAAUCUUCCGCAAUGGGCGAAAGCCUGACGGAGCAACGCCGCGUGAGUGAUGAAGGUCUUCGGAUCGUAAAACUCUGUUAUUAGGGAAGAACAUAUGUGUAAGUAACUGUGCACAUCUUGACGGUACCUAAUCAGAAAGCCACGGCUAACUACGUG
rnacentral:rRNA from 1 species